CUACGGGGCGCUCCAGUGAGGAAUAUUGCACAAUGGGGGGAACCCUGAUGCAGCAACGCCGCGUGGAGGAUGACGCAUUUCGGUGUGUAAACUCCUUUUAUAUGUCAAGAAAAUGACGGUAGCAUAUGAAUAAGCACCGGCUAACUCCGUGCCAGCAGCCGCGGUAAUACGGAGGGUGCAAGCGUUACUCGGAAUCACUGGGCGUAAAGGACGCGUGGGCGGGUUGGAAAGUCAGGUGUGAAAUCCUACAGCUUAACUGUAGAACUGCACUUGAAACUUCUAAUCUAGAGUAUGGGAGGGGGAGAUGGAAUUAGUGGUGUAGGGGUAAAAGCCGUAGAUAUCACUAGGAAUACCUAAAGCGAAGGCGAUCUCCUGGAACAUUACUGACGCUAAGGCGUGAAAGCGUGGGGAGCAAACAGGAUUAGAUACCCCGGUAGUC
rnacentral:rRNA from 1 species